AAGCGUUUGUACCUUCGGAACGAUAAUUUCGCAGAUGGACCAUUCGAAAGGAUUGGGUCGGUGCCGGCGCAUAAUAUAUUUCAAUCGUCCCGCUCUCAACAGACCCACAGCGCCGGUCGCCGGAAUCCGGCUCAGAGUGAACUCUGUAACUCCGCUCCGCGGAGAACUAAACACCCCCUGUCCCAAUCCUUAGCAGGAGACCCACUGCCAUGUCUUUAAUCCAAUAAUCAUCAAGAUCGUUGAGGAGUUUAUGGCACUGAAACCUCAAGCAAAAAUGAUCCUAGCAAUAAGAGUCUGUUUUCUUUCUCUGGUUUUUCAUUCUUUACAGGAGUACUUUGAUUUGCACCUCAUUUUGGUUCAACAUAUUUCAUUGAUAAAUUUAAUUGGCAAUAAAGAAGAAGAUGAAGAAUAGUGGUAGGUCAACCUCUAACAAUGGCAGAAACUAUAGUAAAUUCUGUGCCUUUCUCAUCUUUUUCUUUUUCUAAUAUUUUGAUUUUUUUUUUAAAGUAAGAUUUUCAUCAAUGGUAACACAGAUCCAUCUUUCAUUUACCCAUAUGUUUCUUUGUGUAGAAUAAUACACCAGACUUUAUCUUUUUUCUAUAUUUGGAUCUGUGUUUUAUGUAUGUUAGUUGUAACAAAGUGUCUAACAUUCAGGCUUUAUGUUUAGGGAAUUUUUACAUAUGAGAGGCAGCUGAAGGACACAUCAGCAAAAAAAUCUUUACCAACAUUCAAAUACAAAAAUACUUACUUUGAUUUAAGAAAAAGUCAUUAUUACAUAUUUUUUUAGCAUGUGUUAAUCAUAUAACAUUAACAACAUACAAAGUUGAAUGGAUGAACUAAAAGCUUUAUGAUUUUCUUUUUCUUGCUUAUGCAGGGUAUACAACAGAAAAAGAGUAAGCAUUAUAGUUAUUGGACUUAGUUUUAUUAUGAUAACUCUUUCAACUUUUUUCUGAAAAACAAUGAGAUGAAGAAACUUUUUUUUGAUUGUAAAUGCCAGGUCAUCAUAUUAACGAACUAUUUCAUAAUAAUGUAGGAGGAGCUUAUGGUACUGAAACCACAAACAAAAAAACAAAAGCAAAGAUGAUCCUAGCAAUAAUUAGCAGCAUACUAUGUAGUAUGUUGAUAUUAUCAGAAGAGCAAACCACACAAGUGGGAAGUCUGACAUAAUGUUUUUUUAUGCAAUGGUAUUCAUUUUCAAUAUGUGGUAUGUUCCCUAUAUCAUUAUCAUAAGAACCCUAAGAGUUUGUUUUCUUUCUCUGAUUAUUCAUUCUUUAGAGGAUUAGUUUGAGGAAGAUGAAGAAUAGUGGUAGAUCAACCUCUAACAAUGACAGAAACUAAUGCUUUUUUGUCUCAUUUACUAUUAAAAUUGUAUUUUAUAUAACAGAUUCAGAGCGAUAUUGACUAUUAGGCACAUGGAUUGUUAUGAUUUUGCAAGCAAAUAUAUAAAUUGCGCAGAAUAUAAAAUUUUGAUAAUUU